ACGCGCUGAGUUCUCAGGCAUUGAGAAGCGGGGGACCCGUCAAAAGGGGUGAAUCCCGGCCGUGGUGCCGGGUAGGGUUACCUUCCGACCCGAACCCGUCAGCUAACCUCGUAAGCGUGGGAAG
rnacentral:sRNA from 1 species